CAGCCGCCACGGGAAUACGGAGGGGGCUAGCGUUGUUCGGAAUUACUGGGCGUAAAGCGCACGUAGGCGGUUAUUCAAGUCAGAGGUGAAAGCCCGGGGCUCAACCCCGGAACUGCCUUUGAAACUAGAUGACUAGAAUCUUGGAGAGGCGAGUGGAAUUCCGAGUGUAGAGGUGAAAUUCGUAGAUAUUCGGAAGAACACCAGUGGCGAAGGCGACUCGCUGGACAAGUAUUGACGCUGAGGUGCGAAAGCGUGGGGAGCAAACAGGAUUAGAGACCCCAGUAGUCCCUGUCUCUCAUAA
rnacentral:rRNA from 1 species